rnacentral:snRNA from 1 species
GUGCUUGCUUUGGAAGCACAUAUACCAAAAUUGGAAUACAGAGAUUAGCAUGGCCCCUGCACAAAGAUGACACACAAAUUCAUGAAUCGUUCCAUACUUUU